UAGGGAAUCUUCCGCAAUGGACGCAAGUCUGACGGAGCAACGCCGCGCGAGUGAAGAAGGAUUUCGGUUCGUAAAACUCUGUUGUUAGAGAAGAACAGCGCAUAGAGUAACUGUUAUGCGUGUGACGGUAUCUAACCAGAAAGCCACGGCUAACUACGUGCCAGCAGCCGCGGUAAUACGUAGGUGGCAAGCGUUGUCCGGAUUUAUUGGGCGUAAAGCGAGCGCAGGCGGUCAAUUAAGUCUGAUGUGAAAGCCCCCGGCUCAACCGGGGAGGGUCAUUGGAAACUGGUUGACUUGAGUGCAGAAGAGGAGAGUGGAAUUCCAUGUGUAGCGGUGAAAUGCGUAGAUAUAUGGAGGAACACCAGUGGCGAAGGCGACUCUCUGGUCUGUAACUGACGCUGAGGCUCGAAAGCGUGGGUAGCAAACAGG
rnacentral:rRNA from 1 species